rnacentral:rRNA from 1 species
UAGGGAAUCUUCCACAAUGGACGCAAGUCUGAUGGAGCAACGCCGCGUGAGUGAAGAAGGUUUUCGGAUCGUAAAGCUCUGUUGUUGGUGAAGAAGGAUAGAGGCAGUAACUGGCCUUUAUUUGACGGUAAUCAACCAGAAAGUCACGGCUAACUACGUGCCAGCAGCCGCGGUAAUACGUAGGUGGCAAGCGUUGUCCGGAUUUAUUGGGCGUAAAGCGAGCGCAGGCGGAAGAAUAAGUCUGAUGUGAAAGCCCUCGGCUUAACCGAGGAAUUGCAUCGGAAACUGUUUUCUUGAGUGCAGAAGAGGAGAGUGGAACUCCAUGUGUAGCGGUGGAAUGCGUAGAUAUAUGGAAGAACACCAGUGGCGAAGGCGGCUCUCUGGUCUGCAACUGACGCUGAGGCUCGAAAGCAUGGGUAGCGAACAGGAUUAGAUACCCUGGUAGUCAUGCCGUAAACGAUGAGUGCUAAGUGUUGGGAGGUUUUCCGCCUCUCAGUGCUGCAGCUAACGCAUUAAGCACUCCGCCUGGGGAGUACGACCGCAAGGUUGAAACUCU